rnacentral:rRNA from 1 species
CUAAACGAUGAAUACUCGAUGUUGGCGAUAUACGGUCAGCGUCUAAGCGAAAGCGUUAAGUAUUCCACCUGGGGAGUACGCCCGCAAGGGUGAAACUCAAAGGAAUUGACGGGGGCCCGCACAAGCGGAGGAGCAUGUGGUUUAAUUCGAUGAUACGCGAGGAACCUUACCCGGGCUUGAAAGUUAGUGAAUGAGACAGAGACGUCUCAGUCCUUCGGGACACGAGACUAGGUGCUGCAUGGCUGUCGUCAGCUCGUGCCGUGAGGUGUUGGGUUAAGUCCCGCAACGAGCGCAACCCCUGUGAAUAGUUGCCAGCACGUAAUGGUGGGGACUCUAUUCAGACUGCCUAUGCAAAUAGAGAGGAAGGAGGGGACGACGUCAAGUCAUCAUGGCCCUUACGUCCGGGGCUACACACGUGCUACAAUGGAUGGUACAGCGGGCAGCUACCUGGCAACAGGAUGCCAAUCUCGUAAAGCCAUUCACAGUUCGGAUCGGGGUCUGCAACUCGACCCCGUGAAGUUGGAUUCGCUAGUAAUCGCGUAUCAGCAAUGACGCGGUGAAUACGUUCCCGGGCCUUGUACACACCGCCCGUCAAGCCAUGGAAGCUGGAAGUGCCUGAAGUGCGUAACCGUAAGGAGCGUCCUAGGGUAAAGUCGGUAACUGGGGCUAAGUCGUAACAAGGUAGCCGUACCGGAAGGUGUGGC